rnacentral:rRNA from 1 species
UGGGGAAUAUUGCACAAUGGGCGAAAGCCUGAUGCAGCAACGCCGCGUGAAGGAUGAAGGUCUUCGGAUUGUAAACUUCUAUCAGUAGGGAAGAAAGAUAGCUUCGGCUAUCCUGACGGUACCUAACUAAGAAGCUCCGGCUAACUACGUGCCAGCAGCCGCGGUAAUACGUAGGGAGCAAGCGUUAUCCGGAUUUACUGGGUGUAAAGGGUGCGUAGGCGGCUUGUUAAGUCAAAAGUGAAAUUUCGGGGCUCAACCCCGGAGCUGCUUUUGAAACUGGCGAGCUAGAGUGUGGGAGAGGAAAGUGGAACUUUGAGUGUAGCGGUGAAAUGCGUAGAGAUUCAAAGGAACACCAGUAGCGAAGGCGGCUUUCUGGACCAUUACUGACGCUGAGGCACGAAAGCGUGGGGAGCAAACA